UACGGAGGGUGCGAGCGUUGUCCGGAAUCAUUGGGCGUAAAGGGCGCGUAGGUGGUUCUGUAUGUCUACCGUGAAAGCGUACGGCUCAACCGUAUUUUUUGUCGGUAGAAACUGCAGGACUUGAGGCUGGGAGGGGGCUGGUGGAAUUCCCUGUGUAGCGGUGAAAUGCGUAGAGAUGGGGGGGAGAACACUCGUGGCGAAGGCGGCCAGCUAGACCAGUUCUGACACUGAGGCGCGACAGCGUGGGGGGAGCAAACAGG
rnacentral:rRNA from 1 species